ACGUGAGCUACGGUUUGGGUUUAGGUC
rnacentral:piRNA from 1 species